rnacentral:tRNA from 1 species
UCCCUGGUGGCUCAGACGGUAAAGCGUCUGCCUACAAUGCGGGAGUUCAGGGUUCAAUCCCUACCAGGGGA